UCCUUCCAUCGUGCGCGGCCGCAUCUUCCUUUCCCUCCUCCUCACGCCGCCCAUCCCGCCCGCCGCCGAUCCCGCGGUCGCUUCACCAGGUUGCGGCGCCACCCCGCCCGAGAGCCGCCCCGCAGGCUGCUUCACCAACGCCCGCCGCCGUUUCAACGAGCUACGGCGCCGCCCGCCCAUCCCCGCGUGUGCGGCGGCUGCGCGAUCCAGCAAGCGAUGGCGGCGGCGGCGACGCGUCGAGGUCUACGGUAGCUCGGAACUGCAGCAUUACAAAAUCAAAGCCGGCGUAUAAUGUGCAGGGUGUGCCCUAGAGGAGACGUUGGUGCACAGGUUCUGCAGAUGCACCCAUUCGAUGCUUUUGCCGCUGCUCCUCUUGCUGUACCACCACAGGAAAUUGAUUCGGUUUGUUUACUUAAGGGAUGGAUGCUACAGGGGUCAUGCCGGACCCCAUGAUCAUCAAGGAUAGAGUGCUUCGGUUAUCUGAAGAGUGGAGGGGUUUCAAGGAGCCCAGCGGCAAGAUCGUCGGUGCAGAACUGGAACCCAACGGAGGAGGGCUGGGUGAAGGCUAAUGCCGACGCUCAACUUUGGAGGCGGAGGGGCAGUCCUCAGGUACCAACAUGGUGCUUUCCUCGCUGGACGGCUGUGCACAAGAUCAAUAACAGGGACAAUGAUCUCUCGGCUUAUGGGCACUUGUUAUACAAGAAAUCAAGACUCUUCUGAACGCUAGGGGUGAGUUUAAGGUCCUUUGGGUGUGAUGUUCUGCAAAUAAUGUUGCACACGUUUUAGUCACGGAAGGUUGCUUGAACAAUUUAUGCAAGACUUGAUUCUGGACUUCUGGGUACCACCUGAAUGCAUCGAUCGGUGGUGGCCUCGGAUGGUGUCGUGAGUUAAAUAAGUGCAAUCUGUAUUCCCCUAAGUAAAGUAGUAAACACCCGACCCAGAUUUCUUGCACGGCAAAUUCAAAGCCUGUCAUGUGUAUCUCUAAUGCAGGAAUAGGAGUUAAUGGCACAAGAGAAGAAUUGAUCAACAUGCCCUAAGCCUGAUACCUCCAUGCAAGCUGUCAAAUGUUUUAUCGUGAAACUGCAAAUUUAUUAAAAAAAUGCGGCGACAAAUUAGGUGGUAGAGAUUGUCAACAAAUAAUAUUGUAUACGGUCCUUUCCUCACGAUAUAGCAAACUAGCGAUCUAUUAUGCCUUUUCUUCACGAUAUAGCAAACUAUUAUUGGAAGGUCUGCCUGCCCUUAAACCAUGUGUACAUGAUCUUCCUUUGAAAUCUGCUUCAGUUUGUCUUCCAGGUCCUCUGAAUUUUCUUCACAUAUGUUUUUCUGGCAAAGUGCAGCUGGGAGUGGUGCAUAGAACGUUCAGUUUUUCCAAGUUAUGGUAAGUAACUUACUUGGCUGCUACACAUGUGGACCACGACUUGCAUCCCUUUUAUGAUGCUCACUAAACAGGUGCCAUUAACUCUACAUUGGUCUGUUUCUUCUUCUCAAAUGCCAAGAUAAUGUUCAGGGCUACAUGCAAGUACAAGUGUGGAAUGACAGUGUCAAUUUGUUAUUCGUUCAGGGUGACAUGAAAAUGAAGAUCCUAUAACUGAAGUUGGAUCUUCAGUCCUACACAACACAUCCUUGUUAGCGGAAUAAAUGGCCACAACUUCAUUGCAUAUAUAAAAGGCGGUGGGUGGUGGAUUGGCAAGGUGUUCGGUCAGUUGACCCAGGGUCUGCGGCGAGUUGGUGCCUCUCGACUACAGGAACUUUACCAAGGCAAUCAAUAGUAGUUUCAGGAGUAUUAAGAUUUCAACAAAAAUCUAUAAAGAGCUCUAAGGGGGCAGAGGAAAAAAACACCUGACAGUGCAAAGUGCACUUCCACGAGGAAAUGAGCAGUGUAACACAAAUAGGAGGUGGACUGCUAGGAGCUGUCAAUGGCCCUGUGGUGGAUGGAGCGGGAGACGCAAGGUUGAGCAUGCAUGGCGAAGUUGUAGCUGAUGGGUUGACCGGCAAUCCGGCGCUAGGGAGAAGAAGAAAAGAAAGGAAGGAGUUGCGUGUGGACAAAGUUUUUUGAGUAAAAAAGUGAAAAAAGAGAGAUGAGAGAAAGUAAAAAAGAGGACGCGAGGGCUCGCGACCGGGGGUGCGCGGCUCACGACGUAAUUGGUAGAUUAGAAGUGUUUUCCAUCUUCCUAUGUAG